rnacentral:rRNA from 1 species
CCUACGGGAGGCAGCAGUGGGGAAGUUUUGGUACAAUGGGCGGCAAGCCUGAUCCAGCAAUGCCGCGUGAGUGAAGAAGGCCUUCGGGUUGUAAAGCUCUUUUGUCAGGGAAGAAACGGUCUACUCUAAUACAGUGGGCUAAUGACGGUACCUGAAGAAUAAGCACCGGCUAACUACGUGCCAGCAGCCGCGGUAAUACGUAGGGUGCAAGCGUUAAUCGGAAUUACUGGGCGUAAAGCGUGCGCAGGCGGUUAUAUAAGUCAGAUGUGAAAUCCCCGGGCUCAACCUGGGAACUGCAUUUGAGACUGUAUGGCUAGAGUGUGUCAGAGGGGGGUAGAAUUCCACGUGUAGCAGUGAAAUGCGUAGAUAUGUGGAGGAAUACCGAUGGCGAAGGCAGCCCCCUGGGAUAACACUGACGCUCAUGCACGAAAGCGUGGGGAGCAAACAGGAUUAGAUACCCUGGUAGUCCACGCCCUAAACGAUGUCUACUAGUUGUCGGGACUUAAUUGUCUUGGUAACGCAGCUAACGCGUGAAGUAGACCGCCUGGGGGNGGUACGGUCGCGAGAGUAAACGUUAAAAGUAAAGUUAGUAGCGUGAGAGNGCGACGACGACGACGAGGGAGGAGGNGG